AACGCACAUUGCACUCCUUUGGAGUAUGCCUGUUUGAGAAUCUAUAGUAUUUAUUUUUGGUUAUUUCGCAAGAGAUAACCAAGAGAUUUGAGAUGUCUUGUUUAACGACGAGUAUCUUUAAUGUUAUAGCCUCUUUUGUGGUAAAACACUCUGCAGAACAGUAUUUGAAUGGGACUAACGUUUCUUUAAUGCCUAAUACGCAGACUUACCUAUUGAAAAGGGGGUCCAUAAACUUAAAGUGGUAUCUAGUCUAGGUCUAGGUCUAGAUCUAGGUGCUGCUUGAACCAUGGUCUCAAAUCAGGUAGGAAGACCCGCUGAACUUAA
rnacentral:misc_RNA from 1 species